UGAGGACUUUAGCCACUAGACUAUCAUGCCGGACCCAAAAAUUCUAGGUUUUAAAAAAGCUUCUGAUGAUGUUGAUCCACUGCCUUUUAGCAUGUGUUGUUUCAAGUAGAAAUCUGCAGCUAUCCUUACAUACUU